CAACGAUGACCAUUUUGCAUUCUGAAAACAAAUUAAGAUCACAAACAAAUCCAGAAGAACAAAAUUUGAGUGAGUUCACGGGUUUUAACAAUCUCCCACAAUUGUUCGAUGUGUCCAUAUUGAGGAAGAAACACACGGGUAAAUCGUGGCAAAAGGGUUUUGAAGGUUGAGGAGAAAAAGCCAAAGAAUGUCUGUCUCCAUCGGCCGACGAUGAGGCUUAAAGCAAAGCAAGAAAAACACGCCAAGCAACCAGUUCUUGUCUUUACCUUUGGAUUUUUUCUUGAUUCUCCCAAAUACACAAGGUUGAAUGGAAAACCCAUCUGAUGAUACGUCUCGCUUCUGCGAUCUAAAAGAUUAUUUUUUUCCUCGAUUGAUCGAUUGACUGGAGAUCUUCAGCUCCUGGGUUCCCUUCUUUUGGUGGGAAUCUGAUAGGAAGAUUUGCUUAGAAGGAACUUGUGAUGGAAAUUGUCUCACAGAACACACCACUGCGGAUUCAUGUGGUGAGCCCUAGUUCCAGAUCAGUCAAGAGAAGUGUAGAUUCAUCUAGGAACGUCAAAGUUUUGUGCUUAAAUGGUAGGAAGGGAAUUGGACCACCGAAAUUCUCUUCACUGAAUGAUCAUAGGAAAGGAUCUAGAUAUUCGAAAUCAUCGUACGAAGUGGCUAGAAGAUCCAUUUUUGUGGUUAGAAAUGGAAUCUCUGAAGGGUAUGUUAUCGAUGGGGAUGAAGAUGUUGGAACUAUAACAAGCAGACGGGAAUCUGCCUCGAAGAUUUCGAUUCCAGGUUUGCCCGAUGAAUCCAAGGGUGAACAUGGAGCUUCCAUCAGUAGCUUUUACUGGGAGUGGAGGCCUAAGCUCACAGUUCAUUACGAGAAAUCUGGCUGCGAAAACGUGAAUUCUCCCGCAGUAAUACAUAUUUCCCCUGUAAAAACCACGUGAUAAUUUUAGAUAAGGAAGAAAAUGAGUUAUGUAAAAUCGCCACACCAAUUUCCAAUUUUAAAUAUUCUUUUAAUUACCA